UUUUACAAUGGAGAGUUUGAUCCUGGCUCAGGAUGAACGCUAGCUACAGGCUUAACACAUGCAAGUCGAGGGGAAACGAUAGAGAAAGCUUGCUUUUUCUAGGCGUCGACCG
rnacentral:rRNA from 1 species